AUUUGCCUCUUUUGUUUUCUGUCCUUAAUUGUUCUCAGUCUAAAUCUCUGUAGCCGACAGGCUAAUUUCAUCCACUAAUUUAUAACGUUUUAAUGGUAAUUUCUUCUCUGGGGCUUUCCUCAUCUUAAAAGGUGAGUCAUAAUGGGAGGUGACUCACCAUAGUGUCCUCAUCGGCAAGAGGGAAAUGAGCCUAUGUGGGACUUGAGCCACCUCAUGGGAGAGAUGUCUUGAGAAACCAAGGCCUUGGGAGAGCCCUCCACCCAGGCUGCUUCAAACUCAAAGCAUGUCUCCCUGUAAUAUCAGUGAGGGCUUUGUUCGUGAGCACCGGGAAUGGUGUCUUGCUCUUUCCAUGCUCCCGACAAACUCACUGUGUGUUUCAGCAUAAGACAGAAAUAGACCAGCAAGUCCCUAGUCCUUUCAUGUUUAUCUCCAAACGCCGUUGCUCUGCAGGCCUUCCGUAGAACACAGGAAUUAUGAAGGGAGAAGGCUGUCUCUUCUCAGUGCAGGUCCUAUUCACGGGCUCAGCAUCAUGUUGCAGCUUAAGGAAGAACCGGGCGGAAUGCAAGAGUCUGUUCCAUGUUAAAGGGAUGAAGAUCAGCUGCAAUAAGCAACGUGAGGGCUUUGCUUUGUGAAAAUCUCACUUGUAUUGCAAGGUGUUUACAGGCCUACACACCCAGAAGGCUCAUGUUUUACUCCCUUCUUAACAUUGAUGCUCUCUAACUGGUAAAUACUCCGG
rnacentral:lncRNA from 1 species